UACAGAGGGUGCAAGCGUUGUUCGGAAUUACUGGGCGUAAAGCGUGCGUAGUCGGUAUUGAGAGUCACGGGUGAAAUCCCCAAGCUUAACUUGGGAACUGCCUGUGAGACCUCAGUACUAGAGUGUGAGAGGGGAUAGUGGAAUGCCAAGUGUAGCGGUGAAAUGCGUAGAGAUUUGGCGGAACACCGGUGGCGAAGGCGGCUAUCUGGCUCACAACUGACGAUCAGGCACGAAAGCGUGGGGAGCGAAUGGG
rnacentral:rRNA from 1 species